rnacentral:lncRNA from 1 species
CUUCAAACAUGUAUAAUGUUCAAGAAGUUUGACAAGGACUUGGCUUAUUUUGUGAUCUAAACAAGUACUCAUUUUAUACUGCUUUCCUUGAUAUCCCAAUUUUUUAUAGAGAAAAAGAUAAAGUAUAUUCUUGUGAGUAGCAGCCAUAAAAAAAUGCUGAUUAAAAAAAUGCCAAUCCUCCUGAGUUUGUUUGCUAAUACAUAUUUUUAUUGCUCAUUUCUAUAAAUUAUAAGCCCUCUUUUCACCACACAGCAAAUAUGUAAUUAUGAAAAUGUCAUUGUACAAGGUAUGAUAAUCUGCAGCUUUGGUUUAUUUUAGAUCAAACUAGAUCCUAGCUCAAACUUUUAUGAAAUCACUUUACCCAUUUCUGAAAGAGGUACUUAUUUUGAUACAACAAAACAUCUUUUACAUUACUACAUAAUGCUUUAUGCAUUAUCAACAGAGAAAUUCAACAAAGUUGAAAUUUCUAUUAGCCUUAACCCAUCUUACGGGGUAUUUUGGUUUCAGAAUUUUUAACACUUUUCAGGAAUUAUGCUCAAAAAUAGCCCUCAUUUGUGUGUGUGUGCCUCAUUACUUUAGAAAAUUUUUUUACCACACUUACAUUGCACAUGAUUUUAAGAUAAAAGGUGUUUAAAAACUACAUAAACUAAAUAUUUUGCUUGGUUGCUGAAUAUUCCCAUCUUUGCCACAAUUUGCAAAUAUUUCUGAAAAUUUUAUUGCAUUAUUCCUUUAUUAUAUAGGGCUUUAUUUCCCUUCUUUGCUUAUAAGGAGUGAAAAAUGUCAAUUCAUUCAAAAUAUACAUAUCUCUGCCAAUACUCCUAAAGUCAUACAAGAACUAAACACAUAAAGCAAGGGAAAUAGUCAGUGAAAUAUGCAUUUAUGACUUUCACGUUUUGGAUUGUAAUUCUUUCUGCUGGGGCAAUUUGAAACAGGCAUUUUGCAUAUAGCAUCUCAAUAAAAUUAUCACAUUUUGAGGUAGAUGUUACAUUCAUUUUAAUGUCGAGCAAACUAAGGCAGAGAGAGAUUAAUUAAAAAAAAUUAAACCAAAAGUUUUAAAAUUAAACCAAAGUUACAGUUAAGUAGCAGUAGGGCCAAUCUGACUCCUUCCUAUUUUUCAAUUCCUACUGUCUCCUAAAGAUGUUUUCUUUCUUUCACUAUGAGAAAGUGAAGUAAAGGCGAUAGAAAUACUUUUCAUAUACCUACCUAUUCUCACCAAGUUUACUCUCAUAUUUCUGAGUCAUCGGGGAAGAUUUUAAUAUUCACAACUAUAUCAACUACCUUUAAACAAAAGUUAGAAGUCCUGAGGUUUUCAAAACCCAGGACUAGAAAAAUCGCAAACCUAUUUUCCUUGGCACCUUGUUUCGUAAUAUAUGCUAUAUAUUUGAAACUUUCAGAAUAUGCCACAAAUAAAAACUAACUCACGACUUUUUUUCUAGCUCUAACAAAAACUCUUCCCACAAUUUUUUUUCUUGAAUGUUUUCUGUCAUUUAACCACUCUCUCACAUCCAUGAUUUUUAUCAAGUACAAUGGUAUUCUUUUCACUGCUUAGUGUUAUCCAUUAACAAAAUGCGAUAAAGUAAUUUUAAUUACAUCACAAUUUUUUUUUUGCCAUUGAAAUCACAAUUGAGACUUAAAUCACUUUGUUUUGGGGCUUUUGAUAUACAAACAAUUCAUAAUUUCUUAAAAAUUCUUAAACAUAAGUCAAAACAAGUACACAGCUACUAUGUUCUAAUGUCAAGUCUAAAAUGUAAAAAGAAAUAACGAAAUAAUGUUUAGACUUCUAAACUUUAGAUUAUUUAAAACCGCCACUGUUACAUAAAGCGAAAAUGAUAGUUUACAAGACAUAACGAAAUUCGGAUAUUAAAAUACGCAAAAUAUACACAGGUCCAUUUCUUAAGGGAACGUGGAAAAUUUAACACACUUCAAAUAAUGGUCGUGGGAUGUUUUUCGCUUAUUUUUAAUGCACCAGAUUUAUUUACCAAUUCAAAGGAUCUCUUAUGGGGAGAUACUUAAAACAUCCCCGGCGGUAAACAAAUCAAAUAUAUUAGAUGUAUAAGGACCAGAGCCGGGGCAGAUGCGAGUUCCUAAGUUAUAAAUACUACCUUUUCAAUAAAAAGGUGGUAUUAUAUAGGAUCUCCAAGGAAUAUCGACGUAUAAAAAAAAAUACUGAGAAUGCUGACCACCAAAGAGAUAACAGGUGAAGGCUUUAGGGGACUGAAGAAUGAGCAACAAACCCAACCAACUCAAAAUGCAUUAUUCAUCCUCCAAAGAACCGAAACAGAGGAAAAAAUACAACAGGUCCUCGCAACACCGAGAGAAGUUUAAGCCUUAGGAGGUGGGGACCAGCACCCCUUCCUCGCUGUUUCAAAACUCCGUUGCUAAGCCUCCCUCCGCGGAAACCAGCAGGCGCAGGAAGCAGGUGCUCCGUCCACUUGGGGCCUCCACAGGGCCCGCAUCCUUCUCGGCCUCGGCGCGCAGCACGCGAAGCGCCCCCGGAAGUGCCAGGGGCGGGCGGGGGCGGGCGCUAGCUGGGGAGCCGCGCGCGGAGUGGGAGGGGCGGCGCGCGGAGUGGGAGGGGCCGCACGAGGCCACGCCCCUCCCGGCUGCGUCCGCGGGCUACAGCCAGGGCUCUGGGGGUUCCGGGGUCACGGCUCGGAUCCCCGAGCCAGGUUCGUGCGGAGCCGGCUCCUCCUUGUCCCCGCGCGGACGCGGCCCCCGCUGCUCCAGGUGCAGCUGCAGCAGGGCGCGGCGGUACAUGGCCUCCAGCUUCUCCAGCCGGGCUCGCAGGGCCCGCGGGCUGCCCGGCUCGUCCCCGGGGCCGCCGCCUCUAGCCCUGCGGUUCCUGCCGGCCUCCUCGGAGCCCGGGGUCGCCCUGGCCGCCUCCGCGGGCGCCCCGUCGGCGCCCUCGCCGGGGAGCCGCAAGGCCUGACGGAAGAGGCUGCGGUUCUCGCGCUUCAGCCGCCGGUUCUCGAGCCGCAGCCGGGCGUUCUCCUCGCGCAGCCGCGCGUUCUGCCGGUCCCGCUCGUCCCGCGCGCGCAGGGCCUCCAGGUGGCUGGCGGCUAGAAAACUCUAAAGCUGAAGAUUAUUCUUUGACUAAGGUUAUGAAGUUUGGAGUAGAAGAGCAGAAAAAUGCAAGUAAAAACUACCAAAAAAAAUGAUAUGGAAGCUUAAGUGCAUAAAAAGAGAAACUGUUUAUGAAGAGGCACUAAAUAAACAAACGUAGAAACAUUCAGAAAGAAGAUGGGGUAUUUCAGACACUACUUGGUAGGACAAGCUGCCACCUGAUGUUUCACAUGAGGAUCCUGAGCACUGAGAAAUGCAGAGAAGAAAGACAGAUGACCCUGAGCACCAUGUUCUUCAACUAGGCGGAGUUAACCUGAAAAUGCCUCAGGAUGUUUAACCUCUGUAAUUUAUUUUAAAAUACUAUAUUUAUUUUAGUUGCUAUUCCAUUAGAUGUUCAAAUCAUUUUCACCUAUCCCAAACAUAUUGUGCAGUGACUCAUCAGACAUCUGUGGCAAGUAAAUAUACACAGUGUAUUUUUAGAGUAGCGAAUAUGUGUGUAUGCAUUUAUAGUAUGAGCAAAAUUAAACCUGAUCUGAAAAAAAGUGAAUUUUUCAGCCCUGACCACUACUGUGCCAUUUCAUCUUUAGAACCUACAUUUCCGUGGUAUAAUUUUCAGAUCAUUUCCCACCUUUAAAUGCCAGAAUUAAUGGGAAAUUGUCUUUUUUCUGUGUACUGCUUUGCUGGAGAGGCCCUUCUGCAAUGAACGUUGAAUGCUGUUAAGCCCUAUUUAUGGCUUUAAUAGCUUUGUAUUAAUGAAAAAAUCAGAUACCCUUUAUAUACCCACCUCAGGGGUUCAUGCAGGAGAUGUUCUAUUGAUGUGAAAGAGUCAAAUUGAUUUCUGCCAAAGAUGAGAAAGUAGUAGAAAGGCUCAAACUGCAUGUGGAUAAUGAAAUGGCUUGUUUUAUCACAAAUAUUCUCUGCACAUGUGUUCCACUUCUUUCGUCUAAUGGCUGACCCCUGCUUUUCCUAAAGCUCAAAUUUUGGUGUCUAAACUGUUAUGUGUGUCAACAGAAAGAGGCAAUGAAGAGGAUCUCAGAACAUUUUAGUGAGAAGAGAGCAAAAUGUAGAAAUAUCAUUUCUGCAUUUUGAUUUAUGUGUUCAAGGUUAUUUGGAUAAUUGGAAAGUUUGCUUUUCAGAUGAGUUAGACUUCCUGGAACAAUUAAUCAGGGUCUUAAUUACUGCAUCUGUAAAAAUGAGGUAAGAUGUGCGAGGCUAAGAACCUUCUAGCAUGGAACUGUAGUUUUUUUCCUCUUCCCUUUAAAGUAUCAGGAAUUUCCAAGCCAUCAACAUUUGCUGAAUCUGGCCAUGCAUAGUCUUCAAAAAUAGUGAAUGUUUCAUUUAUUUUCAAAAUACUUUCCAUUUCAGUAGGUUUCCGUGAAGUGAAAACAUUUACCAUAAUGGAUGAAUUUCAUCAGGGAGCUGCUUUAACAGCGUCCUAAAUGAAUAGAGUAAAAGCAUUGCAAAGAUACAGUCAAAAAGAAGUAAGCUUCUUUUUUAAAAAUGUGCUAAAUUUUAAAGCCUGGCCUUAUGCUGCAAAUUGGACAGUAUCCCAGGUAUUUUGUUAAGAGUGAAUACUGUAGAGAAGUCAGAGACAAAAGAUAGAAUCUGGAGUAGAGUCAGCUGGACUAGACCCAGCUAGACUAGAUACCGUGGUAAAAGCAAGACCACCUUGGCCGGCGGGAGGUGGGGGAUGAGGGGGUGGUGUGGAGGUGGAGGUGGAGUUUACAGAGAAACUGACACACAAGCUGGGAGUCAUGGUGCUGCCAAAGCGAAGCCAAUAUUGAUGAAAGGUGCCUGGGGCAAGACAGAGAAUGCAUGAGCCAGAAACUAGUGACUCAGAUUUAAACAUAAGAUCACAGAUGAAACAGAAGCCAACUCAAGUAAGAAAUAACAGGGAGAAAGUGAUAAAUGCCAGCAAGAGCAUGUGGGUGAAACUAAGUUAGAGACGUCUAUCCUGAUUCAUGAAGCCAGGGAGGAGAUCAAAAUUCAGGCAGCAAGUCAUGUGGCAGUUUGUUUUGAUUCAAAUCUAAGUAGUCAUCGCAAUCAAUGAUUAAAUUAGUCGUUCUCAUCAGUUUGUAUGUAUAGACACUUAAGAAUGCUGGGUACUCCAUAUACAGCUGUAAAAUGAAUAAGGAAGAGCUCUAUUAACUGAUGUGAAGUAAUUUUCUGGAUGUAUUUUUAAGUGCAAAAGGACAUCUAUAGUAUGCUGCUUUUCAUAAAGAAGAGUAAAUCAGAAAAUAUCAAUGUAUAUGCUCAUUUGUGCAAAAAAUAAUUGAGUUAAUAAAAUUCAGAAAUGAAUGGGAUGGGUUACCUACAAGGGUGGCAGGGAAGAGAGUGAGAAGAAUGGGGGACUGGGAGGAGGUUAGAAGAGGAGAAAGGGGGAAAGAGAAACUUUGCUGAGUAUACCUUUAUGUGUAGUUCUGCAUCUUAGAAUCAGAGAGAUAUUUCAUAAACAGAACCAAUAAAUAACUAAACUCAAACUGAAUAUGGGGGAAGGACCAAAAAUGGAAUACAAAAAUAACAAAUGAACCUAACUCUAUUAUCAACGAAUAACAGCCUCACUGAAGGGGGUCAGAGAAAAAUAGGCAUAAGUAGCUACAUAAAAAAAUAUUUUGACAAGAUAUUGUAACGCUAAAGAAAAAAACAACUGUAGACAAAUACAAUACUCCAGUUAGUAAAUUCGAUUUUCACUUGGGUAUAGAUUAGCAAUUCUGAAACUGUCUUAUGUGAAUGUAUUUUAUAGAACUAGAUUGUGGGUAGUAAGACUCAGGUUUCUCACAGCAUAUCAGAGAAAGGAGUUACAACAAAUAAGGAAAGGGGAAGGCUAGAAUGAACUCUCUGAUGUUGGAUUAGGACUAGAAAUGUCAGUUGGAACGCAUGGAUUUUAUUAUAAAUAUUGUGAAUAGAUAAGAAAUCUAUCUAGAUGUGUAUGUAUGUGGGUUACUAUACAUGCAUAUAUUUUCUAGCUGUAUUCACUGAGAAGGCAUACCAGCAAUGGCAUCCCAGUAGCAAUGAGAACACUGUGUGCCUAGAUCUUGAUUUCUAUAAGCAGUUCUCCAAGAGCAACAAAAACACUUGAAAAAAAUGCCUGGUUCUAGGGCUAGGGAUUUACUGGGGAAUUACGAGGUGUGUCUGGAAUAUCUUAGAGUGCUGGAAAGUAAGGAAGUGUUAAAACAAAAAAAGGAUAGGGAUCACAGAAGCCAAACAAAGAAGCCCCAAACAGCCAAAACUGGGAUAAUUUGAAGGAAAAAAACCUAAACAAUGAUAAGCAAUGGAUAAUAGCCCCUCAAAUACAAUAAAUAUCCAUGAGUCUAUGUUGAUAUAAAUAAGUAAUUGAAUGCAUAAACACAUAAAUGGGGUAAAAGAGGCAUCUCUUCCUUACAGUGGAAUUCCAGUUAAUAAAUAUAGGAGGG